rnacentral:rRNA from 1 species
GACGUAGGGCGCGAGCGUGUCCGGAUUUAUUGGGCGUAAAGAGCUCGUAGGCGGCUCGUCGCGUCGACCGUGAAAACCCGCGGCUUAACCGCGGGCUUGCGGUUGAUACGGGCAUGACUGGAGUUCGGCAGGGGAGACUGGAAUUCCUGGUGUAGCGGUGAAAUGCGCAGAUAUCAGGAGGAAUACCAAUUGCGAAGGCAGCUCGCUGGGACGUAACUGACGCUGAGACGCGAAAGCGUGGGGAGCAAACAGG